AGCGGUGGCCAAUCAAAUAAACCAAUAGGCGGGGUAACCGUUACAGGAGCAACGCUGCCUGCAGCCGGCCAUCAUAACGGACACAGAUUUCAAAGCGGGUGAAAGAUACUAGUUGCCAACCGCCAAUAAAAGUUAAAGAAGAAGAAAGAACAAGAUUACUAUGUGUCAGGUCUGUGUUCAUCAAGACUUGGAAGACUCUGGAGUAGGACAAAAAGGAUGAUGGGGUGUAUAUUCCAGUAGACACGUAAAACAUCAAGUGGGCUGCUGUAAUGUUUACGUCUAUGGAAAGAGGAGCUGAGAAGCAGUACUUCUUGUUGAGGACAAUCUUGAACACUUUCUCAUACACAUUUAUUAUUAUUAUUAGUGUUGGAUUGUUUUUGUUUCAAUUUUAUUAAUUGUAUUGUUUUAAUUUUUCGAUCGAUUUGAAAUUACCUCAGUUAGAUUCAUGCUAAUACUUUAACCCUAUAACUGUCACUGUCCCACAGGUGGGAUGUUUGGCAUUACAUAUUUAAAACAAUAAUUACAUAGUCUAAACCUACACCAAUCUUGACAAACGAUAUACCGUUGGAAAGCUCUAAGAAUGUAGUUUUAAUAUAUCAACACCAUUUUGAAAAAAAAUGUAUGUAGUAAGAGUCAUUUUCUAAAAUAUCGCAGACCAACAGUUGGGCCCAAAAUGUUAUUACAUAUUUAUUUGUAAAUAUCCCAUUAACCUGAAAUAACCUCGACAAACUAUAUAUUGUUGGAAAGCUCAGGGAAUGUAGUUUUCAUAUUUCAAGGCCAUUUGAUGAUAGAAUUUGUAUAGGGACAGUUAUUUUGUUAAAUGUCACUCACCCCAUAGGAAUACAUAUAAAUGAUUAUAAAUUUAUAACACUAAUACCCUAUAAACUUGAAAUAAUCUUGACAAACUAUAUAUUGUUGGAAAGCUCUAGGAAUGUAGUUUUCAUAUUUCAAGGCCAUUUGAGGAUGGAAAUUUAGUAGGGACAGUCAUUUUGUUAUUUGUCACUGACCCAGUAGGAGUCCAUAUGAAUUCGUAUAUAUUCAUAAUUCUAAUAUUCUUCAAAAUGAAUAUAUGAAUCUUCAAAAAUCUUGACAAACUAUAUAUCGUUGGAAAGCUCUAAGAAUGUAGUUUUCAUAUUUCAAAACCUUUUUGCAUUAAACACAAUGCAGAGACAGUAAUUUAUCAACUUUUGACAAGAUAUUGCAACUAACCGUUGACACCUAGUGGCCUUGGUUGGUAAAACCACUAAAAGUGUGACAGAAACUUCAUUUUUUGUUAUUUUCACCUAAAAUUUGGUUCAGAACUAGUUGAGACUUGUGUCUUUACUGGUGUGGUGUUUUGAGAGUAAAACAUUUU